rfam:Glycine max cultivar Williams 82 chromosome 2, whole genome shotgun sequence.
AAACCAUAUGAUGAAUUUGGAUUUACAAUUACUCACGACGGUCGUCUGAGAUUUUCUUGAUGCAAUGAUCCUCUAUUUCUGAUGGUU